UACAGAGGGGGCAAGCGUUGUUCGGAAUUACUGGGCGUAAAGGGCGCGUAGGCGGCCUGCUAAGUCGAACGUGAAAUCCCUGGGCUCAACCCAGGAACUGCGUCCGAUACUGGUUGGCUUGAAUCCGGGAGAGGGAUGUGGAAUUCCAGGUGUAGCGGUGAAAUGCGUAGAUAUCUGGAGGAACACCGGUGGCGAAGGCGGCUACCUGGACCAGCACUGACACUGAGGCACGAAAGCGUGGGGAGCAAACAGG
rnacentral:rRNA from 1 species